GAAAUGUGGAAGCUGUGAGAAGCUUCCAGAACUGGUACUAAUAAGAUUGAGUUUGGCCUUUAUAUCCGUAAAAAAGAGAAUGAAAAAAUUAAGUAUCUGAUGUGGACGGAGCCAGUCCUAGCUAGCUGCAGCCCUUGACGUUAGCUCAUGGAGGAAGACGUUUUUUCCCCGGUCAAACAAAACUAAAGAAACUUGAUGCAUCUCAUUGAGAACUAACCAAGGGUAACCAUGGCAACCGGUGACAGUUUAAAGUCAGGCCAACACUUUCUGCAGCACUUUCUCUAUACUCUCUGAAGGCUCCCUGGCGAGACCUGUCCUGGUCUGCCGCCGCCUCCGCCGCCUCCUCCUCAUGACGUUGUCCGCCAGCGAGUUCGCUUUCUCGUAAAUCCACGGCAGCUCCCACAAUGCUUUGCCCUGCACCUUGAUGUUGUCCAUCUGGAGAAGGAAGACUGCUCUGAGGAACAACACGAGAGCCGUCAGUUGUCUGACGGAGGCUGCUGCCAUUGACUAGAAAAGACGAAGCAGACAAAGAAACAGGAAGAAGUCUUCCCGUCUCUUCUGAGCGCGCUCCAGGACGGCGGACGCUGCCGAGCACGAAGCCGCCGAGCGCCAUGACAUCACUGACAGUCGGUCGUCUGGGUGACAAAACGCUGCGUGGCGUUCAGCUCCGGGUCCUGGAGGCGUUUCCCUCCCAGCGUUUCUCUGAGUUUUUCCUCCACUGACCGACGACCUCCUACUGGACAUACUGGAGCGACCAGACAGAAACCAGUUCAGACACUCACCUUUCCUGCCAGUAGAGGGUGCUGUUCUGCAAACUGGAGCUGCUGGAGAACCAGGCAGGAAGUCACCGGACUCGGCCGGACCGGGUCUCUUCAGUGGUUGGAGACCCAGAGAUAAAAACAUCAUAGGAGGUUCUUACGGUUCUGAUCAGGGCAGAAUCCGGCCAGCGGGCGGCAGCGCUGAGGCGACACGCUUCUGGAGCGAGGGACACCGUAGCUCUUCUGGUGAAAGGAAGCAGGAAGAGGGAAAACUGUGACCAGCAGGGGGCAGCACAGCUAAAGGUCAGUUAUUUUUAACAUCUAACCUUUAAAAUUAGUUUUUAUACACAGAGUUAAAAAAUUUAAGCUGCAUAAUUUUGACUUUUAAGACUGAAAAUAUAUUUUGUUUCUCGCCGUCUUUCCUAAAUCUUCUAUUAAUUAUUUAUAGAUGGAUUAUAAUUUGACAUUUGUAGCCGAAGCUUUAAAUAUUUUACAGGAAGUAGGUUUUUUUUAAUUACAGGAAUACUUUAGUACUUUCUGACGGCUGAAUAUUUAUGACCAUCCUGGUUUGUGGGCUCGUGUUGAAGCGACGUGUGUGUGUGUGUGUGUGUGUGUGUGUGUGUGUGUGAGUGUGUGUGUG